GGGGAUGUAGCUCAGGGGUUGAGUGCAUGCCUGGUAUGCAUGAGUUCUUGAGUUCAAUCCCCAGCACCCCA
rnacentral:tRNA from 1 species